UGUGGUUUAGAUUUUAUUUUCUCUUUGUUUUUAAGAGUGGUGUUAGAUUUACAGGAAACGAAGCGAUUCAUGAUAUGAUAUUAACCACUUUAUAGUAAGAUUAUCAUGGUAACAGCAUAUGUUACUUGUUGGCUAAGCUAAGUGAACUCCUACAUUGCUCAUCUUAACAAAACUUUGAUUGGUUGCUAAGACUGAAGCUAAUGAGAUCAUCAUUUUUCGUUUUUUAGAUGUGGAAUGUA
rnacentral:misc_RNA from 1 species